rnacentral:rRNA from 1 species
UACGUAGGGUGCAAGCGUUAAUCGGAAUUACUGGGCGUAAAGCGUGCGCAGGCGGUUGUGCAAGACAGAUGUGAAAUCCCCGGGCUUAACCUGGGAACUGCAUUUGUGACUGCACGGCUGGAGUGCGGCAGAGGGGGAUGGAAUUCCGCGUGUAGCAGUGAAAUGCGUAGAUAUGCGGAGGAACACCGAUGGCGAAGGCGGGUUGCUGGGCUGAUACUGACGCUGAGGCGCGAAAGCCAGGGGAGCAAACGGG